CGGAGGGUGCAAGCGUUUAUCCGGAUUCACUGGGUUUAAAGGGUGCGUAGGUGGGUUGGUAAGUCAGUGGUGAAAUCUCCAGGCUUAACUUGGAAACUGCCAUUGAUACUAUCAGUCUUGAAUACCGUGGAGAUGAGCGGAAUAUGUCAUGUAGCGGUGAAAUGCUUAGAUAUGACAUAGAACACCAAUUGCGAAGGCAGCUCGUUACACGAAUAUUGACACUGAUGCGCGAAAGCGUGGGGAUCAAACAGGAUUAGAUACCCUGGUAGUCCACGCCCUAAACGAUGGAUACUCGACAUUUGCGAUAAACUGCAAGUGUCUGAGCGAAAGCAUUAAGUAUCCCACCUGGGAAGUACGACCGCAAGGUUG
rnacentral:rRNA from 1 species